GUUUAAAGGGAGCGUAGGUGGAUUGUUAAGUCAGUUGUGAAAGUUUGCGGCUCAACCGUAAAAUUGCAGUUGAAACUGGCAGUCUUGAGUACAGUAGAGGUGGGCGGAAUUCGUGGUGUAGCGGUGAAAUGCUUAGAUAUCACGAAGAACUCCGAUUGCGAAGGCAGCUCACUGGACUGCAACUGACACUGAGGCUCGAAAGUGUGGGUAUCAAACAGGAUUAGAUACCCUGGUAGUCCACACAGUAAACGAUGAAUACUCGCUGUUUGCGAUAUACAGCAAGCGGCCAAGCGAAAGCAUUAAGUAUUCCACCUGGGGAGUACGCCGGCAACGGUGAAACUCAAAGGAAUUGACGGGGGCCCGCACAAGCGGAGGAACAUGUGGUUUAAUUCGAUGAUACGCGAGGAACCUCACCCGGGCUUAAAUUGCACCUGAAUAACGUGGAAACAUGUUAGCCGCAAGGCAGGUGUGAAGGUGCUGCAUGGUUGUCGUCAGCUCGUGCCGUGAGGUGUCGGCUUAAGUGCCAUAACGAGCGCAACCCUUAUCUUUAGUUACUAACAGGUGAUGCUGAGGACUCUGGAGAGACUGCCGUCGUAAGAUGUGAGGAAGGUGGGGAUGACGUCAAAUCAGCACGGCCCUUACGUCCGGGGCUACACACGUGUUACAAUGGGGGGUACAGAAGGCAGCUACCUGGCGACAGGAUGCUAAUCCCCAAAACCUCUCUCAGUUCGGAUCGAAGUCUGCAACCCGACUUCGUGAAGCUGGAUUCGCUAGUAAUCGCGC
rnacentral:rRNA from 1 species